UUAAGUUUUUCUCCAAAUGUAUAUCUUUUAAUGCAUUAUUCGAGGUUGUUCUGUACAUUGUUGAAGGUUUGAUAGUCUAGAUUAUGGUAGGUUAUACUACAGUCAGCAUUACACUCCCAGAGAUUACAGAAUCUAGUCUUACCCUCUUGUUAUUGUUGUACUGCAUUUGUUAUUCUUGUUAGAUCUACCAAUCAGGUAAUGAUUAUGUGUAUGUAUAGGGCAGGGUGUCUGUUUUUACUGACUGUUAAAGGAUUAAACCCAGUUGCAAUUUAAUCUGUAUGUAGAAUAGUCAUUCUGUACUUGUUACUUUCUCACACACAUAGUUUUAAAGCUUGUUAAUUUUUAAAACUAAAUUGUUUUGCAAUAGAACAGCAAUAAUGAUGUAAUUGAAGCUGCAUUAUACUGUAUUGUAUUUAUUGGGCAGUUCAUUGUUCCCUUUCAUUCGUAACAAACUUUUUACCCUUUAUGUUGUAUUUUCAAAGGUUGUCAGUCAGAUAAAACAGAAUAUGGAGAAUUAAAAUCGAUAUACCUUAAGUAGUUUAAGACAACAAAAAUAUUGUACAUUUGACAAUAUUAUCUUUCAAUGAAUGUUUAAAAUUAGGGUUAAUAUAUCUCUGUCUCAUUGUUGAAUGUUUUUUUUAAUUUAAUUAUUUUGAGAUGUUCUGGAAUGGAAACUUCUGUGAAGCUAAAGGAGAUGUGUUUAAUCUGUGAACUGUCUGAAACUGACCAAUUUGUUGAACAACACUUGUUUUAAUAG
rnacentral:sRNA from 1 species